rnacentral:siRNA from 1 species
AUUAUGGAUUCAUUUGGUGUCA